rnacentral:hammerhead_ribozyme from 1 species
AUCCAACUGACGAGUCCCAAAUAGGAUAAAACGUGCGUUCUGGAU